CGGGGACCCACCAGCUUGUCUGCCGCCAUCUGGGACAAAGUCUAGCUCUUGUCCCCCAGGCUGGAGUGCAAUGGCGUGAUCUCAGCUCACUGCAACCUCUGCCUCCCGGGUUCAAGCGAUUCUCCUCUCUCAGCCUCCUGAGUAGCUGGGAUUACAGAGUCUUUUCUAAGGCACCAACUGCUUCCUUCAAGCAGCAGCCAGAGAUCUUUGCUCAAUGGCGGAGAAAUACAGAAGAGAGUCCCGGAGAGGAGGAGGAGCCUGCAUGAAGAUGGAGCAGAGACUGGAGUUAUUCAGCCAAGUCAAGGAAUGCCUGGAGCCAUCAGAAGCCGGAAGAGGCAAGGAAGGAUCCUCCCCUAGAGCAUUUGGAAGAGUGUGGCCCUGCCAACACCUUGAUUUCAAACUUCUGGGCUCCAUAACUAUGAAAUAAAUUCUUGUUGUUUUAAGCCACCAAGUUUGUGGCAACUUCUUACAGCAACCCUAGGAAACUAACACACAGAGUGUGAGUUACCUAAACAUUGUGAGCCUCAGUUACCUUAUCUGAAAAUGGGGCUAAAACUUAGACCUACCUUUUAGGGCUGCUUUAAGGAGUAAUAGAAAUUAUACAUGGGAAUUACAUGGCACCAAGUUGUUCCUUAAUAGAGGGAAACUGUUAUGAUGGCGGAAGAGCAGUAAUGAAAUACUGAAUUCAUCCAGCAGAUGGCAGAAGAUGGAUCUGCAAACAAGAGGACUUCGUAAGGUUUGCUGCCCAGCAAUACAGCUCCAGGCCUAAAGUAGCCUUCCUAGCUCACAAACUGAUGAUGAUUAACCCUCGCCAACUCAAGUGUGCUCUCAGCUCUGUAGAAACUAAACUAAUUCUGUUUUCCUUUGACCAAUGUACACCACAGAGGCUGGCACUGGAGAAUAUAAAGAGUGGUGCAACAGAAAAUACCUGGGUUCUGGGCUCAGCUCUGUCACCUCAUUAGGAUUCAGUUUGCCCCUCUGUAAAGCAGUGAAAAGAUGAAAUACCAAGUGUAACAUAAUUAAAGGGCUGUUGUGAUACCAAAAUAACAUAAUGUGUAAAAGUGCUAAAAACAAGAUGCCAUAAAGCACCAAAGGGGCCCAGGAGAGAUUAAUUCAUGGAGAACUUACUCGUUUUUUUGAGACAGAGUCUCACUGUGUUGCUCAGGCUAGAGUGCAGUGGCACCAUCUCAGCUAACUGCAAUGUCUGCCUCCUGGGUUCAAGCGAUUCUUGUGCCUCAGCCUCCUGAGUAGCUGGGACUACAGGUGCAUGCCACCAAGCCUAGCUAACAUUUUUUGUAUUUUUAGUAGAGAUGGGGUUUCACCAUGUUGGCCAGGCUGUUCUCAAACUCCUGUCCUCAAGAGAUCCACCCGCCUUGGCCUCCCAAAGUGCUGGGAUUACAGGAAUGAGCCAUUGUGCCUGGCCUAAUUAAUGGAUAACUUCUGCAAGAAUCCAGGGUCACGGUUGAUUUGUUUAUUCAUUUAUUCACUCAGCAAACAUUUCUUUGUGCCAGGCAUUGUGCUAGGUCCAGGGAAUACUGCUUACAUUGGAGAAGUUCGUAUUCUAGUUUGGGUGGACAAACGUGAUAAAGAUGUGUACGGGGCAUAAUUUUCUCUCAGCAGCUAGGGUAACAUUCCAACUCCAUGUUUUGGU